UACGUAGGGUGCGAGCGUUGUCCGGAAUUAUUGGGCGUAAAGAGCUCGUAGGCGGCCUGUCGCGUCUGCUGUGAAAUCCCGGGGCUUAACCCCGGGCGUGCAGUGGAUACGGGCUGGCUGGAGGCAGGCAGGGGAGAAUGGAAUUCCCGGUGUAGCGGUGAAAUGCGCAGAUAUCGGGAGGAACACCGGUGGCGAAGGCGAUUCUCUGGGCCUGUUCUGACGCUGAGGAGCGAAAGCGUGGGGAGCGAACAGG
rnacentral:rRNA from 1 species